GCCGAGAUGGCGGAAUUGGUAGACGCACAAGACUUAAAAUCUUGCAGUGGUAACACUAUGAGGGUUCGAUUCCCUCUCUCGGCACCA
rnacentral:tRNA from 1 species